GAUGAGCAUGCGUCCCAUUAGCUUGUUGGUAAGGUAACGGCUUACCAAGGCAACGAUGGGUAGGGGUCCUGAGAGGGAGAUCCCCCACACUGGUACUGAGACACGGACCAGACUCCUACGGGAGGCAGCAGUGAGGAAUAUUGGUCAAUGGGCGCAAGCCUGAACCAGCCAUGCCGCGUGCAGGAUGAAGCAUCUAUGGUGUGUAAACUGCUUUUGCACAGGAAGAAACACUCGGACGUGUCCGAGCUUGACGGUACUGUGAGAAUAAGGACCGGCUAACUCCGUGCCAGCAGCCGCGGUAAUACGGAGGGUCCAAGCGUUAUCCGGAAUCAUUGGGUUUAAAGGGUCCGUAGGCGGUUUUGUAAGUCAGUGGUGAAAGCCCAUCGCUCAACGGUGGAACGGCCAUUGAUACUGCAAGACUUGAAUUAUUGGGAAGCAACUAGAAUAUGUAGUGUAGCGGUGAAAUGCUUAGAGAUUACAUGGAAUACCAAUUGCGAAGGCAGGUUGCUACCAAUAUAUUGACGCUGAUGGA
rnacentral:rRNA from 1 species